AAACUUAAAAGUGCAAACUAUUAUUGUUAUUUCUGCGUCACUUUUACUGCAGUUGUUUGUUGUUGGUUGUUGUUACUGUUAUUGCCACUCGCUCUCAAGCUCCGUAAUACACCUUUAUUGGUUUCAAUUACGUAGCACUAUCGCCGCCAAUUGGCGUUAAGUGGGUGGCGUUCAUUACGCGGAAGACGUAAUUAAACGCAAUUAGUCAAACGAUCAUACCUUCUCAGCUACUCAGUGACUCAGUGUAAAGCGCCGGGAAUAACGUUUAGUUUGCAUAUUUAAUUACUCAAGUUCAUUUUCACGAUCGCAUUUAAGUGUUGAGCGUGUUAAAUAUAAUAAU